AAACACUAAAAUGACGAAUGACGUUAGUACAUAGUCACAUACUUUGUUAGAAGAAAAAAUAUCUUAGGAGUACUAUACAACUCAUCAAAUAACACCAAAAUUCAUCACAUUAAAUCUCAACCGUCCAUUCCUCCCCAUCCCCACCCCCACCCCCACGCCCUCCCCCAGCCCCCUGCUUUCUUCUCUUUUUGUUAACCCUUAUUUUUGCCCUUUUUCCUCCUUCCCUCAAAACUCCCAAGUCGGCGCUCCUCUUGAGAGAGAAAAACCCUCAAUGGAUUCUGAUCAAGGGAAGCUAUUUAUUGGUGGGAUAUCAUGGGAGACAAGUGAGGAGAAACUUAAGGAGUAUUUUCAAGGUUAUGGUGAUGUCUUGCAGACAGUUGUUAUGAGGGACAAGAUCUCUGGGAAGCCUAGAGGUUUCGGUUUUGUUGUUUUUGCAGAUCCUAAUGUUCUCGAUAGAGUUCUUCAAGAUGAACAUGUCAUUGAUGGCCGUACGGUUGAUGCUAAGAGGGCUUUGUCAAGAGAGGAGCAGCAGGGUUCAAAAUCUGGAAACUCAAAUAGUGGCAGAAAUUUUGGAGGUGGUGGAAGUACAAGGACCAAGAAAAUUUUUGUUGGGGGAUUGCCUCCCACUUUGACUGAGGACGGAUUCAGACAAUAUUUUGAAAGUUUUGGUAGUGUCACUGAUGUAGUAAUUAUGUAUGACCAGCAGACCAACCGACCUCGUGGGUUUGGCUUCAUCUCAUUUGACUCUGAAGAUGCAGUAGAUAGAGUUUUACAGAAGACCUUCCAUGAUCUGAAUGGUAAACAGGUAGAAGUAAAGAAAGCUCUUCCUAAAGAUGCUAAUCCUGGUGCUGGUGGGCGUUCCAUGAGCAGUGGAGGCGGUAGUGGUAUGGGGGGUGGAAGUUAUCCGGGGUAUGGUGCAUCAGGUAACAAUUCCAGUUCUUAUGACAGUAGAAUGGAUUCCAACAGGUACAUGCAAACUCAAAAUGCUGGAGGUGGCUAUCCUUAUGGUUCAUCUGGGUAUGGUACCCCCGGUUACGGCUAUGGACCAUCCAAUAACGGUAUGGGUUAUGGUGGUUAUGGAAGUUAUGGCGGAGCAAAUCCGGGCUAUGGCGGUGCCAAUCCUGGCUAUGGUGCUGCCGCAGUUGCUGCCUAUGGUAAUCCAAAUGCGGCCAGUGCUGGUUAUGGAAGUGGUCCAGCGGGUGGACCAAGAAGCACAUGGGGCUCUCAGGGUCUUUCUGGUUAUGGGAAUAUGGGAUAUGGUAAUGCUCCUUGGGGUGCUGCAGGUGCUGCUGGUGGACCUGCUAGCGGAGGAUCUGGUCAAUCUCCAACUGGAACGACUGGAUAUGGAAAUCAAGGUUAUGGUUAUGGUGGUUAUGCUGGAAAUGAUGGUGCUUAUGGAAAUCAAUCCGGUUAUGGCGCUGUUGGACGUGCCAGUGGUGCUCCUAGCGGUAAUUCACCUGUUGGAGGUGGUGCUGCAGGAGACAUGCAGUCAGGUGCUGGGGGUUACAUGAACAGUGGCUAUGGUGAUGCAAGUGGAAACUCUAGCUAUGGGAAUGCAACAUGGAGAUCUGAUAACUCGCAAAGUUCUGGUAAUUAUGGUGCUCCACCAAAUGGGGCUCAUGGUGGCCAAGUUGGAUAUGGUGGUGGAUAUGGAGGUGCCCCCAGUCGGCAAGCUCAACAGCAGUGAAUGAGAUGCUUUGUGUUGUCUAAGACUUCCAUCUCUUUUACUGGAGAGUUUUGCAUCACUUUUGUGUUUCACAGGCAGAGUGCUGCUCUUGCAGGUGUAACCUGCUAAAUGAGACGGGAGGAGAGGCCUGAAUACUGAAUGUGAUGAACAAUCCACUCGGAGAUAAAUACGACCUGGGUGCUGGAGAUGUUUAGUAAAGAAAGGUAUCUUACUUUGGAUUGGCUUGUUUGAUGGGGUAUUGCCCUGCAAGUUGUCGUGGUGAAGCAGACCAAGGCCAAGCAGGCGCUGCCGAGUUGUAUUUUGUGCAGGGUCGAGACUAACAGCUAUCCACUCGGUAUAUGUUGCAUCCAACUGCUGUUGAGUGUCGUAUUGGUUCUUGCGAACCUGGAGACAUAGCCUUUUAGAGUGUGUCAAUAAUUUGAUUAGGUACUUUGACAAUUUAACUUGCAGAAUUUCUUCUUUAGGUUUGAAACAUUUUUUUUAAUACAAUAUAUUCUUUUCCUAGGA